UGCGCCUUGCCACGCCCGCUCAGAAACUUAAAGGAAUUGACGGGGGCCCGCACAAGCGGAGGAACAUGUGGUUUAAUUCGAUGAUACGCGAGGAACCUUACCUGGGCUAGAACGCAUUCGGAAUCAGGCCGAAAGGCCUGCGCCAGCGAUGGCCGCUUGCGAGGUGCUGCAUGGUUGUCGUCAGCUCGUGCCGUGAGGUGUCGGGUUAAGUCCCAUAACGAGCGCAACCCCUACUGCUAGUUGCCAGCGGGUCAUGCCGGGGACUCUAGCGGAACUGCCAGCGUAAGCUGCGAGGAAGGUGGGGAUGACGUCAAAUCAGCACGGCCCUUACGUCCAGGGCUACACACGUGUUACAAUGGCCGGUACAGAGGGCAGCCACCCCGCGAGGGGGCGCGAAUCCCGAAAGCCGGUCCCAGUUCGGAUCGGAGUCUGCAACCCGACUCCGUGAAGCUGGAUUCGCUAGUAAUCGCGCAUCAGCCACGGCGCGGUGAAUACGUUCCCGGGCCUU
rnacentral:rRNA from 1 species